CGAGAAAUAAGAAAGUAUAAGCGGGUUUAGCUAAAAAACUUAGCAUCUUUUGUUCAUCUGAAUGCCUUUUCGCUCUUUAAACUACCGUGGAAAACCCUAAUCUCUAGAUUUAAAAUUUGGAAUGUACUUGUUUAUAGUUGAAACAGCUACGUAUCUUUGAUUUCAAUAUUUGCCUUUUAAGAUUAUUGCUUAAAAGAAUUGUUUAGAGCGAACUCGAUUUUGCAUUCUCCAAAACAAAAUGAACUGCAUAUAAUACCGCGGUACCGAGGCAACAACUUCUACUUCAUAUAAGUUCUAAGAGUUAGUCAAAAUGUAAUGCUGAUUGCAAGUUCACAUGACUAAUUUAGACGGCUUGAGAUAUUUACUUAAAUAAACAAAAAUUUAU